GAGCGACUGACAACGUGUAUGAUAUCACUUGCGGUUGUUACUAAUUUUAUCAGGCAAUCGUAGUUUCUACGGCGUCAACAUGAAUAUUUGCUACGAACGUAAUGGUUUUAUAUUACUGAAAUACUGCAAGUUGCAAUUUGCUGUUACCAUUUGCAAGAAAGAAGUUUUUGAGAUGGAAACAAUUAGGUCCUGGUACGACACGAUGGAGGCGAUUCCAGCAUCCUGCAGAACCGCUGCGUUACCGUACUGGUCUCCGAAGAGUGGGAUGGCC